rnacentral:rRNA from 1 species
AGAGUUUGAUCCUGGCUCAGGAUGAACGCUGGCGGCGUGCCUAAUACAUGCAAGUCGAGCGAACGGACGAGAAGCUUGCUUCUCUGAUGUUAGCGGCGGACGGGGGGGGAACACGUGGAUAACCUACCUAUAAGACUGGGAUAACUUCGGGAAACCGGAGCUAAUACCGGAUAAUAUUUUGAACCGCAUGGUUCAAAAGUGAAAGACGGUCUUGCUGUCACUUAUAGAUGGAUCCGCGCUGCAUUAGCUAGUUGGUAAGGUAACGGCUUACCAAGGCAACGAUGCAUAGCCGACCUGAGAGGGUGAUCGGCCACACUGGAACUGAGACACGGUCCAGACUCCUACGGGAGGCAGCAGUAGGGAAUCUUCCGCAAUGGGCGAAAGCCUGACGGAGCAACGCCGCGUGAGUGAUGAAGGUCUUCGGAUCGUAAAACUCUGUUAUUAGGGAAGAACAUAUGUGUAAGUAACUGUGCACAUCUUGACGGUACCUAAUCAGAAAGCCACGGCUAACUACGUGCCAGCAGCCGCGGUAAUACGUAGGUGGCAAGCGUUAUCCGGAAUUAUUGGGCGUAAAGCGCGCGUAGGCGGUUUUUUAAGUCUGAUGUGAAAGCCCACGGCUCAACCGUGGAGGGUCAUUGGAAACUGGAAAACUUGAGUGCAGAAGAGGAAAGUGGAAUUCCAUGUGUAGCGGUGAAAUGCGCAGAGAUAUGGAGGAACACCAGUGGCGAAGGCGACUUUCUGGUCUGUAACUGACGCUGAUGUGCGAAAGCGUGGGGAUCAAACAGGAUUAGAUACCCUGGUAGUCCACGCCGUAAACGAUGAGUGCUAAGUGUUAGGGGGUUUCCGCCCCUUAGUGCUGCAGCUAACGCAUUAAGCACUCCGCCUGGGGAGUACGACCGCAAGGUUGAAACUCAAAGGAAUUGACGGGGACCCGCACAAGCGGUGGAGCAUGUGGAUUAAUUCGAAGCAACGCGAAGAGCCUUGCCAAAUCUUGACAUCCUUUGACAACUCUAGAGAUAGAGCCUUCCCCUUCGGGGGACAAAGUGACAGGUGGUGCAUGGUUGUCGUCAGCUCGUGUCGUGAGAUGUUGGGUUAAGUCCCGCAACGAGCGCAACCCUUAAGCUUAGUUGCCAUCAUUAAGUUGGGCACUCUAAGUUGACUGCCGGUGACAAACCGGAGGAAGGUGGGGAUGACGUCAAAUCAUCAUGCCCCUUAUGAUUUGGGCUACACACGUGCUACAAUGGACAAUACAAAGGGCAGCGAAACCGCGAGGUCAAGCAAAUCCCAUAAAGUUGUUCUCAGUUCGGAUUGUAGUCUGCAACUCGACUACAUGAAGCUGGAAUCGCUAGUAAUCGUAGAUCAGCAUGCUACGGUGAAUACGUACCCGGGUCUUGUACACACCGCCCGUCACACCACGAGAGUUUGUAACACCCGAAGCCGGUGGAGUAACCUUUUAGGAGCUAGCCGUCUAAGGUGGGACAAAUGAUUGGGGUGAAGUCGUAACAAGGUAGCCGUAUCGGAAGGUGCGGCUGGAUCACCU